rnacentral:misc_RNA from 1 species
AAAGGGCAAAGGCUGAGAUAGAGAUCCGAUAGGGAAAGGGGACAACAGUGGCCCUAAUUCGAAGAUUAAAAAGGAAACAACGAGUCCCUGUAUUUAACGAAACAAAAAGUAGAACAUAAUUUAAAGAGCAACAAACAGAAAAUAGAGAUCGGAGUUUGAUUAACCGGCAUAAACAUGUACGCCGACGGCAACAAGUAAGAUAGUGAUGAGGCCAAAGUAAAUGACGGCAUGUACCAAAAUAGCAGCGCCGCUCGUUUGCAUCCCGCCGAACUCCACCACUUUUCCACGGCUAGGUAACUGAAACAACAACCCCGGCGAUAACAGCACGAACAGCACCACCGCUAUCAACACCGGUCCCCAAUCCGCCAUGGUAACUAAGGGUGAUUGAACAGAGAGAAAGAGGAAAUAAAUUGGGGAAAAUGUCAAAUGAUGAAGUUGUGUGCAGCAGAUGUGGCCAAAAGUGAAG